AAAGUCGCUAAAGGGAGAAACGCUGCUUUGGCGUAGUCGGUACUACGUAAAAGAUUAGCAGAAAGAUCAGGAAUAUUGGAUCGCUACUAUUAAGAAGCCGAUCAAUUAAGCUGUCUGCGUAACCUGCGGACAAGGGUUUAAUAUGACGUCGGCCCACCCUUUGUCAGCUAUAACAGCUUCAACUCUUCUGGGAAGGCUUUCCACAAGGUUUAGGAGUGUGUUUAUGGGAAUUUUUGACCAUUCUUCCAGAAGCGCAUUUGUGAGGUCAGACACUGAUGUUGGACGAGAAGGCCUGGCUCGCAGUCUUCGCUCUAAUUCAUCCCAAAGGUGCUCUAUCGGGUUGAGGUCAGGACUCUGUGCAGGCCAGUCAAGUUCUUCCACACCAAACUCGCUCAUCCAUGUCUUUAUGGACCUUGCUUUGUGCACUGGUGCGCAGUCAUGUUGGAACAGGAAGGGGCCAUCCCCAAACUGUUCCCACAAAGUUGGGAGCAUGGAAUUGUCCAAAAUCUCUUGGUAUGCUGAAGCAUUCAGAGUUCCUUUCACUGGAACUAAGGGGCCAAGCCCAGCUCCUGAAAAACAACCCCACACCAUAAUCCCCCUCCACCAAACUUCACAGUUGGCACAAUGCAGUCAGACAAGUACCGUUCUCCUGGCAACCGCCAAACCCAGACUCAUCCAUCAGAUUGCCAGAUGGAGAAGCGUGAUUCAUCACUCCAGAGAACGUGUCUCCACUGCUCUAGAGUCCAGUGGCGGCAUGCUUUACACCACUGCAUCCAACGCUUUGCAUUGCACUUGGUGAUGUAUGGCUUGGAUGCAGCUGCUCGGCCAUGGAAACCCAUUCCAUGAAGCUCUCUACGCACUGUUCUUGAGCUAAUCUGAAGGCCACAUGAACUUUGGAGGUCUAUAGCGAUUGACUCUGCAGAAAGUUGGCGACCUCUGCGCACUAUGCGCCUCAGCAUCCGCUGACCCCGCUCUGUCAUUUUACGUGGCGUACCACUUCGUGGCUGAGUUGCUGUCAUUCCCAAACGCUUCCACUUUGUUAUAAUACCACUGACAGUUGACUGUGGAAUAUGUAGUAGCGAGGAAAUUUCACAACUGGACUUGUUGCACAGGUGGCAUCCUAUCACAGUACCACGCUGGAAUUCACUGAUGUUGAUAUUGUCUUAUUGUGUAUUCUAUAUAUAAUUUAUUUUCUAUUCAGUUUUUAUUUUUUUAUUCAAUUUUUUAAUUUCUUUUUAUUAUUAUCUCUGUCUUGUUGCUAUUUUUGUAUUGUUGUGCUUUGGAAGCUUCUGUC